AGUGGCGAACGGGUGAGUAACACGUAAGCAAUCUACCUUUAAGUUUGGGAUAACCUUGCCAACGCGGGGCUAAUACCGGAUGUGAUCAGCUUGGCGCAUGUCAGGCUGUUUAAAGGAGCAAUCCGCUUAAAGAUGAGCUUGCGGCCCAUUAGUUAGUUGGCGGGGUAACGGCCCACCAAGACCGCGAUGGGUAGCCGGCCUGAGAGGGUGGACGGCCACAUUGGGUCUGAGAUACGGUCCAGACUCCUACGGAGUCAGCAGUAGGAGUUUUGCCAUUGGACGGAAGUCUGACGCAGCACGCGCGUGAGGAUGACGGGCUUCGGGUGUAACUCUGUUGAAUGGGAAAAAAGGUAGCAAUAUUUGAUGGUACCAUUCGAGUAAGCACGGGCUAACUACGUGCCAGCAGCCGCGGUAAUACGUAGGGUGCAAGCGUUGUCGGAAUCACUGGGCGUAAAGAGAGCGUAGGCGGGAUCGUAAGUUAGGAGUUUAAUCCACGGGCUCAACCUGUGGUCGGCUUUUAAUACUGCGGUUCUUGAGUAUGGGAGAGGGCGAUGGAAUUCCAGGUGUAGCGGUGGAAUGCGUAGAUAUCUGGAAGAACACCAGUAGCGAAGGCGGUCGCCUGGCCCAAUACUGACGCUGAGGCUCGAAAGCUAGGGGAGCAAACAGGAUUAGAUACCCUGGUAGUCCUAGCCGUAAACGAUGAACACUAGUUGCUGGAGGAGUCAAUCUUUUCGGUGACGAAGCUAACGCAUUAAGUGUUCCGCCUGGGAAGUACGCUCGCAAGAGUGAAACUCAAAGGAAUUGACGGGGGCCCGCACAAGCGGUGGAGCAUGUGCUUUAAUUCGAUGCAACGCGAAGAACCUUACCUAGGCUUGACAUGGGGGUGAAAUUCUGUAGAAAUAUGGAGCCUUCCGCAAGGAACACCCUACACAGGUGCUGCAUGGUUGUCGUCAGCUCGUGUCGUGAGAUGUUAGGUUAAGUCCUGCAACGAGCGCACCCUCGUCCUUAGUUGCUAACAGUUACGCUGAGAACUCUAAGGAGACUGCUUGGUUACCCAGAGGAGGUGGGGAUGACGUCCAAUCCUCAUGGCCCUUACGCCUAGGGCUAGACCCGUGCUAAAUGUGUGGUUUGGCUCGCUGCAAGUCAGUGAUGACAAGCUAAUCUCUUAAAACCAGUCUCAGUUCGGAUUGAAGUCUGCAAUUCGACUUCAUGAAGCUGGAAUCGCUAGUAAUCGCGGAUCAGCAUGCCGCGGUGAAUACGUUCCCGGGCCUUGUACACACCGCCCGUCAAGCCAUGAAAGAUGGCAGUACCCGAAGUCGCUUCUCUAACCGCAAGGAAGAGUGCGCCGAAGGUAAGGCUGUUGAUUGGGGCUAAGUCGUAACAAGGUAACC
rnacentral:rRNA from 1 species